rnacentral:rRNA from 1 species
UACGGGGGGGGCAAGCGUUGUUCGGAAUUACUGGGCGUAAAGGGCUCGUAGGCGGCCAACUAAGUCGGACGUGAAAUCCCCAGGCUCAACCUGGGAACUGCGUCCGAUACUGGAUGGCUUGAAUCCGGGAGAGGGAUGCAGAAUUCCAGGUGUAGCGGUGAAAUGCGCAGAUAUCAGGAGGAACACCGGUGGCGAAGGCGGGUCUCUGGGCCGAUACUGACGCUGAGGAGCGAAAGCGUGGGGAGCGAACAGG